rnacentral:rRNA from 1 species
UACGGGGGGAGCAAGCGUUGUUCGGAUUUACUGGGCGUAAAGGGCGCGUAGGCGGUCAGCACAAGUCAGUUGUGAAAUCUCCGGGCUUAACUCGGAAAGGUCAACUGAUACUGUGCGACUAGAGUGCAGAAGGGGCAACUGGAAUUCCCAGUGUAGCGGUGAAAUGCGUAGAUAUUGGGAGGAACACCGGUGGCGAAGGCGGCUACCUGGACCGGUUCUGACGCUGAUGCGCGAAAGCGUGGGUAGCAAACAGG